rnacentral:piRNA from 1 species
UGUUCGCAACUCCCUUCAGCAUUUCAAAAA